UCUGUUUGUGUCCACUUGUCCACUUGUCCACUUGCUGAGCAUAUUCCAAACUCCCUCAUGCCUCUUUUGGAGGUGAACUGUGAAAUAAACUAGGUCACUUGGAGUUGAAAACAAAGAAAGGAAAGAAGAAGAAGAAGUUUUCUGCUGGCUUUGAGGUCUUUGAAUGUUAAGCAUCUUUUGCUGUGGAAGGAAAAGUGUGCCUGCUAAAGGGCUUUCUGAUAUCAGGGAGCUGGUUGGGAAGGUUUUUAAGCUCCUGAGUUACCCCUGACAGAGGAGACCCUGGGCUGUGUGGACCUUUGGUCUUCCCUGCAAGCAUCUCAGAUAAUUUUCAGAUUAGCAGCACACAGAAGCAAAACCCGUGUAAAAAGCUGAAGUGAAACGCCCAGCUCUCUACAUGACAUAUGCCUGUACUACACUGUGACUGGCAGGUCAUGUGUUCUAUAUUUGGAUUUCCAUAUCUGGCUAUUGAUAACAGAAGACAGCAAGAAAGAAACAUUUUGUCAACUCCAGUGUAGAGCAGUGAUUCUCAAAUUCUAAUACACCUG